rnacentral:tRNA from 1 species
GCCCAAAUAGCUCAGUUUGGGAAAGCGUUAGACACUGAAGAUCUAAAGGUCCCUGGUUUGAUCCUAGUUUUCGGCA